ensembl:ncRNA lncRNA:CR43624 long non-coding RNA:CR43624
UGGGCGUGUCAUGUUUGCUUUGCCGCCCUGCCACCGAUGACUAACUUUUUGCGGUUUGGAAAAUUAUUUUGCUGUCCUAGCCAUUACCACCUUUUCAGCGAACCUGAAAGAGUUCUUCAUCAAUAUAAAUUGCAGAUAUUCAAAAUGCAAAUGAAAUUCGCGGAAUUAAGGCAAGAAAACUUGUUCCUCAGACCUGUGGCGUCUGGAACGUGCCCGCAAUUGAGAGAUCCUGAAUUUGAAUUUCAAUUAUAUUCGGUUCGUCAAUCGCCAUUUGAAUGCGAUGCGAAUGUCUGGCCCACGCGGCGAGUCGAUGCCAUGGCAAUUAAGGAGCAUAAUUAAGUGUAUGCCAACCAACAGCAUGGAGUUUCAUCACGGACGUAUCGUUCCUUUGUUGUUGUUGUGGCCGAGUUGAUGUCAAUUUAAAUGCAAAAGGCCUUUUGAGCCACUGCGAAGGAUGGCAGUCGAAAUGUGCCAAACUGGCAGUUUCACUAAUUGCGAGGUGAGGCAAUGCGAGCUGAAUAGGACAUGGUCACGACUUCUGGACGAGUCAGCAUGACAAUCGCAGCUAAGCCACUGACUGCAUGCAAAAAAAAAAAAUACAUGUAAUCAAAUCAAUAUCUCUUCAUUUUAUAUGCCUGCUAAAAACAGUCUUAAAAACAUAAGAAAAUAGCUCAAAUAUAAGAAAGCUAAUAAAUAUAUUUUAAAUAAAUAGAAUAUAGAAU